rnacentral:rRNA from 1 species
CGAGCGAGUCUGCCUUGAAGAUCGGAGUGCUUGCACUCUGUGAAACAAGAUACAGGCUAGCGGCGGACGGGUGAGUAACACGUGGGUAACCUGCCCAAGAGAUCGGGAUAACACCUGGAAACAGAUGCUAAUACCGGAUAACAACAGAUGAUGCCUAUCAACUGUUUAAAAGAUGGUUCUGCUAUCACUCUUGGAUGGACCUGCGGUGCAUUAGCUAGUUGGUAGGGUAACGGCCUACCAAGGCGAUGAUGCAUAGCCGAGUUGAGAGACUGAUCGGCCACAUUGGGACUGAGACACGGCCCAAACUCCUACGGGAGGCAGCAGUAGGGAAUCUUCCACAAUGGACGCAAGUCUGAUGGAGCAACGCCGCGUGAGUGAAGAAGGGUUUCGGCUCGUAAAGCUCUGCUGUUGGUGAAGAAGGACAGGGGUAGUAACUGACCUUUGUUUGACGGUAAUCAAUUAGAAAGUCACGGCUAACUACGUGCCAGCAGCCGCGGUAAUACGUAGGUGGCAAGCGUUGUCCGGAUUUAUUGGGCGUAAAGCGAGUGCAGGCGGCUCGAUAAGUCUGAUGUGAAAGCCUUCGGCUCAACCGGAGAAUUGCAUCAGAAACUGUCGAGCUUGAGUACAGAAGAGGAGAGUGGAACUCCAUGUGUAGCGGUGAAAUGCGUAGAUAUAUGGAAGAACACCGGUGGCGAAGGCGGCUCUCUGGUCUGUUACUGACGCUGAGGCUCGAAAGCAUGGGUAGCGAACAGGAUU